GCUCGGGGGCGGGGCCGGGCGGGGCCGGGCCCGGCUCAGGUGCGCGGGGCGGGCCCGAGGUGAUUUAACCCCUGGAAAUCGCCUCCGGUGCCAUUUGCUCCCUCAGAGCUCGGAGAGGCUGCGGCCGGGCCGGGCUCUCCCUGCGGGGCCCCGCCGCGGGGCUCGGGGCGCCGCAGAAUAAAGCCCCGCGGGCCGGAGCGCGGCGCCCCCGCUGUCCCUGGAGCCCCCACACGGGGCCGGGCCCGCUCAUACCGUGGACUCGUGGGGUGAAUUUGGAAGGGACGACGAAACUCUCUGGAGUCUGUGUCCCACCGCACGGCAAAGAACACGGCCAAAACUGCCUCCUCAUCCUCGUGGGAUGGCAGUGGCUGUGUGGAGCUCUGGCAGGAUGAGGAAGCCAAGCCUGGCGAGAGGAAGAUGAGGAGGUGUGGGAGGAAGGAGACAGCGGCCACCAAAGGCUGGGGAAGGCACAGGUCCAGGACAGGAAAAGCCACUUAACUCAUCCCAUCUUUGCCCAGAGCUUUGGUGUUUGAGCAGCCAAACCCAAUGGGCUCCGGCCUGCACUGGAGGGCCCCUGGUCCUGCCCGUGGUGUGGGAGCUGGAAUUGCCUCUUGGAUGUGCACUGAGCUCUCACUGCAGGAACUGCCAGGCCUUAAUGGUUGUGAGUUCAUGUUCUUCUCACUGGGGAAUUGGAAAUAAUUAUUAAUUAUUCAUUGCAGAAAUGUUUUCUGAAACCUUUCCCCUUUGCUGGUAGAUCUUCUCUUUCUGCCUUUGAGUUUACAGCUGUGCCCUGCUGUCAUUUGCCCUGCCUGAAUUCCUUGCAGCUCCUAACUGGGAAAACCUGGGAUAACUCAGAGGGGACAGAGGUGACAUUUUUGGCUGAACACCUGGGGCAGCUGAGAGGGGACACAAGAACUGUUUGUGUAGGAAAACGUGAGGGGAUGUCAAGGGAAGCGAGGUGGCAUUUUGAGGGAAAAGCUGAGGUGAAGUUUAAGGGAGAGAAUGCAAAUUUUUGGAGUAGAAAAGAGUUAAUAUUGUACAGGAAGGAAAAUUUGGGGGGGUAAAACUCAAUGUAAUCUGUAGGGGACAGGGCGAAUAUAUUGGAGUAAAAAUGAGGUAUUCAGUAGCAGGCAAGGAAAAUUUUGGAGGCAAAGCUUGACAAAAACUCAAGAGUAGAGAAGGAACACUUUGAGGGAAAAAAUGAGGUGAUGAGUACUGAGCAUGUAGGGAAAAUGUGGGGGAUAAAUCUGAGAUCAUCUCUAGGGGAGAGCAUGAACAUACUGAGGUAACCAGUUGUGGGCAGAUGGGGAAAUUUUGGGGGGCAAAAAUAAUAUUAAAUAAUCUGUAGGGCAGAGAAUGACCAUUUUGAGGUAAAAAUGAGAUCAUCAGUAUAGCAAACAGACUAUUUGGGGGGGUUAAAUCUUGAGAGAAGCUACACAGUAGAAAAUAAAGUGAAGGGAAAUGAAGGAAUCAAUAGUGGACAGGUAGGGGAAUUUUGGGGGAUAAAACUUGAAAUAAUCUUAAGGCUGAGAAUGAGUAUUUUUAGGUAAAAAUGAGGUAAUAAGUUGUGGACAGGUAAGGAAAAUUUUGGGAGUAAAACUGGAGUAAAUCUCGAGGGAGAGAGUGAACACUGACAUAAACUGAGGCAGUCACUGGGGGUAGGCAAGGAAAUUUUGGGGGCAAAACUUGGGAAGAUCUGUAGGGCAGAGAAUGAACAUAUUGGGGUAGAAAUGAAGGGAUCAGAAGUCAGCAUUAGGUAGAGUUUGGGGGCAAACUCUGAGGUAAUUCUGUAGGAACUAUAAGGGGUUUUGGGAAAAAGUCUGACAUAAUUUGCAGGGGACAGAACGAGCAUUUGGGGUAAGAGACAUAACCUGUGUGGUUUGGGUUUUAAAAUCCAGUUGGUAAACAGGGGACAAAAUGGACAUUUUGUUAAAAAAACCUGAGUUAAUCUGUAGAGGAAAGAAUGGAUAUUUUGAGGUGAAAAGGAGGUAAUCAGUGCUGGGCAGGGAGGGAAAAUUGGGGGGAUAAAAUGUGAGGUAAUCUCUAGGAGAGAGCAGGAACAUCCUGAGGUAAACUGAGGCAAUUGCUGUGGACAGGUUGGUAAAUCUGGGGAUAAAACCUGAGGGAAUCUCCAUGGUAGAAAAUGAGUGUUUUGAGAUCAAAAUGAGGUACUCAGUGGUGGAGAGGUAGGGAAAGUUUCAGGGGUAAAAUCUGAGGUGAUCUGUAGCAGAGAGGAUGCACUCGAUGGGGUAAACUGAGGUAAUCAGUUAUGGACAGGGAGGGAAAUUACUGAGGGGUAAAAACUGAAAGCAUCUGUAGGGUGAAGAAUGAAAAUAUUGAGGUGGAAAUGGGGAAAUGAGGAGUGGACAGGUAGGGAAAAUAAUGGGAAUAAGGCUGGUGGUAAUCCCCAGAUUAGAGAAAGAAUGCUUUCUUGUAGAAGUGAGGAAAUCAGAAGGGGACAGACAGGGAAACUUUGGGGGGAAGUCUCAGGUAAUCUCAAGGUGAGGGAAGGACUGUUCUGAGGUGAACUCGGAACUCACUGUGUCCUCCUUUCCUGGCAGGAAGGGGGAAGAGGCCUCGGGCUGGAGAGGGGCAGGAGAAAGGCCCUGUGGGCAGAGGACCCCCCGGUGUCACCAGGGCACCCGUGGGGAACAGAAUGGACACUGGGAGCAAAUGGAGGUGACUGGAUUGUCCCUUCGGGGGAUGCUGGCAUUUAGAGAAUUCCACACAUUUGGCUGCUGACAUUUCCCAGCCCAGGGCUUUGGCUGACAGGGCAGCACAAAGAUUGUUCCCUGUGUGGUGCCCAGAUUUGGGGUUCAGCUUUGCUGUUUAGAUGAAUCAGAGCUGGAGCCCAGAAUUCCCUGCUGGAAUAACCUCACAGUGCCUCGUGCAGCACGGAUAUUCCCACACAGAGCUGCCUAUGGAACAGCAGCUGUGCCAGGAGCCAGCAGAGGCUCCAGGGGAGCUCAGAGGGCUCAGGACAAGGACAGGUUGCUGUUCCAUGGCAUUUGCUGUUUAUAACCCUUUGCUAUCAUUCAUCCCCAGCCCCACCCACGUCCCUGGGGACACC